rnacentral:rRNA from 1 species
GACGAACGCUGGCGGCGUGCUUAACACAUGCAAGUCGAACGGGCCUGUCUUCUUUUUUGGGGGUGGGUUGAGUGGCGAACGGGUGAGUAUCACGUGAGUAACCUGCCCUUCGGUCCUGGAUAACCGCUUGAAAGGGCGGCUAAUACGGGGUGGUCCGGUUGGUCCGCAUGGGCUGGUCGGGAUAGAUUCACUGUUUUUGGUGUUUCGGCGGGGGAUGGGCUCGCGGCCUAUCAGCUUGUUGGUGGGGUGAUGGCCUACCAAGGCGGUGACGGGUAGCCGGCGUGGGAGGGGGGGCGGCCACACUGGGACUGAGAUACGGCCCAGACUCCUGCGGGAGGCAGCAGUGGGGGGUAUUGCACAAUGGGCGGAAGCCUGAUGCAGCGACGUCGCGUGAGGGAUGGAGGCCUUCGGGUUGUGAACCUCUGUUUCCGGUGGUGAAGGCCCUGUCCGUGUGGUGGGGUUGACGGUAGCCGGGGAUGAAGCGCCGGCUAACUACGUG